AGUUCUCCUGUUUUCGGACAGGGCCUGAGGCCGAUUUCCCCUGAAUAGGAUCAAAGAAGAUUUGCUGAGCACCUACUAUGCAUCAGACGCUGUGUUCUAGGCAAGGGGGAUACACCUGAUGGAAGAAGGUCCUUCCCUAGACGUAGCUAACAUCCCAGUGUGGGAGAUGACACGAAACAAGUAUGGUGGAAAUGAUGUCACGCCCACUCCAGGCCUAACCUCUAGGAGGACUGGCAGUUUCUGCUAUGGCCUCUGGGAGCCAUGAGCUGCCAUGAAAAAGGUCAAACUACUCUGCUGGAGACACCCACCUGGAGAAGCCCUGGGAUUCCAUGGAGAGGCAGACGGACCCAGCUGAGCUCAGUGUUCCAGCCAUCCCCACGAAAGCACCAGGAACCUGAGUGAAACCAUCUCGAUCCUCCAGCAUAGCACAAUCAGCAGCUGAAGAUCACUGAGUGACUCUAGUCGGCGCUCCAUGGAUCACUGAAGGAUCACCCAGCUGAGCCCUGCGCAAAUUUCUGACUCACAAAACUGUAGACGAUACAAUGGUUGUUGUUUGGGGGCAGUUUGUUAUGCUGUAGCAAUAAAUAGCCAGAAGAGACCAAGAGGCAGAAGUUGUUUGCUGAAAAUAAUGCAAAAAUUAUACCAGCCCUUGCCCAGCUACCUCCGGA
rnacentral:lncRNA from 10 species